rnacentral:misc_RNA from 1 species
GAUGAAGAACGUAGUGAAAUGCGAUAAGUAAUGUGAAUUGCAGAAUUCAGUGAAUCAUCGAAUCUUUGAACGCACAUUGCGCCCGCCAGUAUUCUGGCGGGCAUGCCUGUUCGAGCGUCAUUUCAACCCUCGAGCCCCCCCGGGGGCCUCGGUGUUGGGGGACGGCACACCAGCCGCCCCCGAAAUGCAGUGGCGACCCCGCCGCAGCCUCCCCUGCGUAGUAGCACACACCUCGCACCGGAGCGCGGAGGCGGUCACGCCGUAAAACGCCCAACUUUCUUAGAGUUGACCUCGGAUCAGGUAGGAAUACCCGCUGAACUUAAGCAUAUCAAUAAGCGGAGGA